AUAAGACACUUGAACUGAGACAGCUCAAUGGAGAAGAUCUACAAGGGCUGUCUGUAAAAGAUCUGAGGAAGCUAGAACAUUUACUUAGCACAAGCUUGCAUCGCAUUUCAAAAGCAAAGGUUGAAGUAAUUGAGCAGGAGAACAAUAUUCUAAAGAAAAAG